ACAUCACUUAUAUCAACUGAAAAAAAUGUCUCUUUUGACUUCAAAAAAGGUAAGUCAAAAAUUUCUGUGGGUACUUCAAUAAAAAAAAAAUGAAAAGGAAAAUUUAAAAAUUAAAGAACUAUCUGGGUGCCUGCAUUGAUAGCGUCUAAAUAACCAUCUGGUCUCUUUUCCAAUGAGUUAAGAUAGAAAGCUGUGGCAUUUUCAAUAUUACUUAUAAUUGAAGGAGUUUUUGUUUCUGUUUUAGGUAAUUCCUGAUACUAUUUAUUAGUGUCUGCAGGGAGGUGCACAAAGAUUUUUGACUCAGCCUGUAUUUGGUUGUGGUGAUUUUCUUUUCACUGUCAGAUCUCUUAACUGUCAAGAUUAGACUUGGAAAAUUAAAUACAGAGAAAGAAUUUGUAACAUUGUAGUGUCUCACCCUUUGAACAUCUGCUUCUGCAGAAGCAGGCCUUUCUCCUACAUGGUUCUCGUGUAAGGCAGAAAAGUGGGUUUUGUUCUUUACAGCUGAAGGAUGUUUUUUAGAAACAAGCAGAGGUAAAGGCGUGAGGACUGCCGCCUGGAGCCAGCAUGGCAAGCCCGCCAGUCCUGGCAAUGAACUUUCACCCCCAUCUUCCCCCAACUAUUCCAGUAGACACUCCUCUCUAGCUUUCCUGCAAAAAAGAAAGCGCUACUCUUUGACCCAGUAUUUCAACUUUGGGGCAUUUAUCCUAGACGUACACUUGCAUGUGUGUAAAUUAGCAAAUUUUGCCUAUUGCAGUGUUAUUUGUAAUAGCAGAAGACUGGAAAUGACCUGAAUAUCCAUCAGCAAGAGACUCGUUAAAUAGCUGUUUUUCAACAAUGGAAUGCUAUACGGCAAUGAAAAUGGACCACAGCUACAUGCAACAAGAAUAUUUACACUAUGAUUCUCUUCAUAUAAAGAUUAAAAUCUGUUAAGGGAACACAAGUUCAGCCCCCGGUUGGGGAGCUGAGACCUUGCAUGAUGCCGUGGGGCAGCUGAGCCCACGCAGCGCAACUAGAGAGUCCACGUGCCUCAGCAGAGACCCAGCGCGGCCAGAAAGAAACAACAAAUAAAAAGAUAAAAAUAAAAAACAGUUUUGCC
ensembl:lncRNA